rnacentral:rRNA from 1 species
UGGGGAAUCUUGGGCAAUGGGCGAAAGCCUGACCCAGCGACGCCGCGUGGGGGAUGAAGGCCCUCGGGUUGUAAACCCCUUUCAGCGGGGACGAAGCGAAAGUGACGGUACCCGCAGAAGAAGCCCCGGCUAACUACGUGCCAGCAGCCGCGGUAAGACGUAGGGGGCGAGCGUUGUCCGGAUUUAUUGGGCGUAAAGCGCGCGCAGGCGGCCCGUUAAGUCGGUUGUGAAAACCCGAGGCUCAACCUCGGGCCUGCAUCCGAUACUGGCGGGCUUGAGGCAGGUAGGGGAGAGUGGAAUUCCCGGUGUCGCGGUGAAAUGCGCAGAUAUCGGGAGGAACACCGGUGGCGAAGGCGGCUCUCUGGGCCUGUCCUGACGCUCCGGCGCGAAAGCUGGGGGAGCAAACAGG